GGGGCGGUAGCGCAGUUGGGAGCGCGUCAGACUGAAGUAAAAACUUCAUUCAUUAAUCUGAAGGUCACCGGUUCAAUCCCGGUUCACCCCA
rnacentral:tRNA from 1 species